UAAAAAACGACAAACUAACCAACAUUCCAAAGCUUUGCUUCUUCUUCUUCUUCUUCUUCUUCUGGUUGGUAUAAAAUACAAAUAGCAAACCAACCCAUUUGUUUUCUUUUGAAGAAAUCUGGGCAUCCGAACCUUCAUUUUCGUUUUUGAAGCUCCGCCUUGUUGGCUCUUGUAUUUUAUCCAAUUCCCUGACCCGACUUCCCUACAACCCGAACCCGACUUCCAAUUCAAAAAUGGGCUGCGUGAGCUCGAAGCAGGCGGUGUCCGUCACACCAGCGUUGGACCAUUCCGGAGCGUUCAGCACGGGUCGGAUUCGGGUCGGCAUGGACCAGCACCCAAGUUUCAAGAAGAAUGGGGAUCGCCGUCACCAUCAUGAGAUGGUGGUAAGUUGCGGAGGGAGCGAGUUGGGUGAGUCAGGAAGAGCUCCAAGUUCAAAUGGCGAGUCGUUGAGCUUUAGAUUGAGGAAUUUGCACAAGUACAUUGAGGGUGAGCAGGUGGCCGCAGGUUGGCCGGCCUGGCUAAGUGCCGUCGCUGGCGAAGCCAUUCACGGUUGGGUCCCUCUGAAUGCUGAUGGUUUUGAGAAAUUGGACAAGAUAGGACAGGGUACAUAUAGCAGUGUGUUCCGGGCACGUGAGACUGAAACUGGGAGGAUCGUUGCUCUGAAGAAGGUUCGGUUCGACAAUUUUGAGCCUGAGAGUGUCCGAUUUAUGGCAAGAGAGAUAUUGAUUCUUCGUAGACUCGACCACCCCAAUAUCAUGAAACUGGACGGAUUAAUCACUUCGCGAUUGUCAUGUAGCUUAUACCUUGUCUUUGAGUACAUGGAGCAUGAUAUCACUGGACUCCUGUCAUGCCCUGAUGUCAGGUUCAGUGAGUCACAGAUUAAGUGCUACAUGCGGCAAUUAUUAUCAGGACUUGAUCACUGUCACUCAAAGGGUGUAAUGCAUCGAGACAUCAAAGGAUCAAAUCUUCUCGUAAACAAUGAAGGAAUACUCAAGGUAGGAGAUUUUGGUUUGGCAAACUUCUGUACUCUCGGGCACAGACAACCUUUAACCAGUCGUGUAGUGACUCUGUGGUACCGUCCUCCUGAACUUUUGUUGGGUUCUACCGAUUAUGGAGCAUCUGUGGAUCUCUGGAGUGUAGGCUGUGUAUUUGCAGAACUUCUUCUUGGAAAGCCUAUCCUUCAAGGGAGAACAGAGGUUGAACAAUUACACAAAAUUUUCAAGCUCUGUGGAUCCCCGCCAGAUGAAUACUGGAAAAAGUCUAAACUUCCUCAUGCAACUUUAUUCAAACCACAACAACCUUAUGACAGUUGUCUUCGUGAGACCUUUAAAGAUUUGCCAACAACUGCUGUGAACCUGAUCGAAACUCUUCUCUCUGUAGAGCCUUACACUCGUGGGACUGCUUUUUCUGCUCUUGCAUCUGAGUAUUUCAGCACAAAACCUUAUGCAUGUGAUCCAUCAAGCUUGCCAAAAUACCCACCUAGCAAAGAGGUUGACGCAAAAAACCGCGAGGAGGCAGGGAGGAAAAAGAUUGGUGGGAGAGGUCGUGGCACUGAAACAAGAAAGUGUACAAGAAAACCAUAUGGAAUCUGUAAAUUGGCACCAGCAGAGGAUCUAGCAGCUAAAAUACAAUGCAGUCAAAUCAAUACCAGUAAUAUGCGUAUUCCAAAGGUAGGAGAUGGCAAGUCUGGUGGAGAAGCACGGAAGCCAUCGCUUGAUAAAUUGGAAGAGACUUUCCAUAUAAAGAAUGCAUCCCAAGGAGACAUUCCCUUUUCUGGCCCAUUACAAGUUUCUAGUUCAAGUGGUUUUGCUUGGGCAAAAAGACGAAAUGCCGAUGCAUCCAUAAGAUCCCACAGUAGGUCUAUUUCAAGAGGUCAUUCUAAUAAUGGAUCAGAACCCUCCUCUGCAUUGCAAGAGAAAAAUAAUUCUGACUCAAAACAGCAUAAUAAUGGGGAUCUCAUAUAUGGAGUCCGUACCAAUUCUAGAGGCCAUAAUUCAUAUGAGAUUUCUAAGUUUGCAUUGCAGAAACAAUGGAGUCAGUUUGAACGUCCAGAUUCUUUUGAUGCUUCUGAGGAGUACCAUUCUCAAGAACUAUCAUUGGCACUUUAUCAAAGAGAAGAAAUGGAAUCCAAGAGAAGUAAUUUGGUUUUUCAAGAUCAAAUGGACAAGGUCGACUUUUCUGGACCCCUGUUAUCUCAAUCACACAGAGUGGAUGAACUCUUAGAAAGACAUGAGCGCCACAUUCGCCAGGCAGUCCGAAAAUCAUGGUUUCAUAGAGUUAUAGGUAAGAAGCAUGGAAAGUGAUCAUUAUUAUGUAUGCCCGGCUUCCGAAGCCCUUUUUAUAUGAUGGAUAGGUUUCUCUCCAAGCAAAACUUGAGAAACCUUGCACAAGAGGCCACUUAUCAGGAAUCCCACCCUCAAGGAGACAAGUUUAACCUGAACCGGUGUACCCAAAAAUGACACCAUUGAACCAUCAGCUGAAUAGAAAGUCCUGCAUAAGAAUGGCGAGGAAUGGAAAUCUGGAAGCUAUAUGUUGAUUGCUUUCCUGUAUAUCCAAAAAUGAGGAGGAAAUAGGGAUUAAAGAGAGGUACAUAAUGAUGGUUUGCUCUCUUCUUUUUCCUCUAUUCCUUUUGAAUUUGAAAUUAUCACCUUUCUUUAUUUUAUUUCAUCUUUAGUCUGUUUUGUCAGCCCUUUUCCUUUUCCUUUCCUUUUAUUAUGAUUUGACCUAUCCUGCCAAUUUUAAAAGUGUAAUGAUUUGUGAUCCCGAGAUUAAUUUAUGUAAAUGCGCAGAGUUUUCAGGUUUGCAGCUUAUAUUUCACUUUUUAAUAUUUGACAAUUAGAUCAUAACAUGAGCAACUGUAAUUUCUUUUAGGCAAUAGCAGGGAGCCAGGAUGUCGGUCAGAUGGACAAGUUACAAAUUAAAUGCCUAAGCCUAUCACUUUGUUUUGGGUUUGUUUUGUUCAAUAACACUUUGUGUUUAUAAAGUGUUAACAAAAGUGACUUAAUCGAAGUCAUUAGUUAAUUGUUAUCCAA